rnacentral:lncRNA from 1 species
AGUGGAAUAGAAGGUACAUCAGCCUGGCACAGAUAAUGAUUCCUUCAUAUCUGUUUUGCUGAGGUACUUGGAAUAUCCACCCUGGCUUCAAAAGACUGUAAAAUCUGACAAUUUGCAGUGGAGUAUCAUAGGAGGGGACUGAAGAAGGGUGGAUUUAUUCUGGAAGAGCAUUUCAUGCCUGUUGGAUACCACAGAAGAUAGAUUAAAAAUAGUGAGAAACAAGGUCCGGUUUGGGAUUUGAUGUUAUGAAAAACCCAUUCACUGCAUUGUGGGAAUGUUUGUCUUGAGGUUGCUGAAAGAAAAAGGUUGAAGUAGUGGAUAUAUUUCAUGAUACUUCUUAUAUUGUCUGCUGAUUGAAUGACGUAGUUAAGUGCUAUUUAAAAUGGGUAUUAUUUUGAAAUCCUUAGAGAAGGAAAAAGCCCACAAGAAAUUCUUGUUGAAAAGGACUCAGAGGCAAGAAAACGUGAUAAAGUGUGAAAAUCAGAAUAUCAGCAAAGUAUCCAAUAACCUUUCAACCCUUCUACAGCAUGGAAAAACAUAUAAUUGAAUCUCUACAAGAUCUGCUGAAACACGUCGAGUAUUGAAGAAAAAAAGCCAUAAAUCAUUGUCUUCCCCCAACUUCUAAUUUUUGUCACUUUCACAAAUUAUUCUAUAUAUCCUUUAAUUUUUUUUUUUUUUUCAGGGAAGGUAUUUGGGUUAGUUUAGAGCUGGUGUUAUUCUUUACUCUUUGAUUCACAACCUGCCUAUCUUUUUAAUCUUAACUGCGUGGUAAGAUAAUUGGCAGAAGGGCAAGCAGACAUUUAUAUCCUUUUUGCCUGAGAUUCCUGCUGUCCCUAAUAAAAU